GUAUUGUAUACCAGGAGAGAAGUUUAGCACUCCCCUUCACAGGGAUGGAAGAGGCCCUUGCCUGACACGCAUACAGUUAAGGCACUGCCACCUACUUUGUGGCACUGAUCAGGAGACAUCC